AUCGCUUCUCGGCCUUUUGGCUCAGAUCAAGUGUAGUAUCUGUGCUUAUCAGUUUAAUAUCUGAUACGUCCCCCAUCGGGGGACUACAUAUUAAAUGGAUUUUUCGAACAGGGAGUCGGAAAUGGGGCUUGCUCCGUCCGCUCCACGCAUCGACCCGGUAUUGCAGUACCUCCGGGAACGGUGCAACACUU
rnacentral:snRNA from 8 species